rnacentral:rRNA from 1 species
GAUGAACGCUGGCGGCGUGCCUAACACAUGCAAGUCGAACGGAGAUUCCGGACGGAAGUUUUCGGAUGGAAGACUGUAAUUCUUAGUGGCGGACGGGUGAGUAACGCUUGGGCAACCUGCCCUAUACAGGGGGAUAGCAGCUGGAAACGGCUGGUAAGACCGCAUAAGUCGGCGAGACCGCAUGGUUUUGCCGGGAAAUGAGCAAUCAGGUAUAGGAUGGGCCCGCGUCCGAUUAGCCAGUUGGCAGGGUAAAAGCCUACCAAAGCAACGAUCGGUAGCCGGACUGAGAGGUCGGACGGCCACAUUGGGACUGAGACACGGCCCAAACUCCUACGGGAGGCAGCAGUGGGGGAUAUUGCACAAUGGAGGAAACUCUGAUGCAGCGACGCCGCGUGAGUGAAGAAGUAUUUCGGGAUGUAAAGCUCUAUCAGCAGGGAAGAUGAUGACGGUACCUGACUAAGAAGCCCCGGCUAACUACGUG